AGUGAACGCUGGCGGUAGGCCUAACACAUGCAAGUCGAACGGCAGCACAGUAAGAGCUUGCUCUUACGGGUGGCGAGUGGCGGACGGGUGAGGAAUACAUCGGAAUCUACUUUUUCGUGGGGGAUAACGUAGGGAAACUUACGCUAAUACCGCAUACGACCUACGGGUGAAAGCAGGGGAUCUUCGGACCUUGCGCGAUUGAAUGAGCCGAUGUCGGAUUAGCUAGUUGGCGGGGUAAAGGCCCACCAAGGCGACGAUCCGUAGCUGGUCUGAGAGGAUGAUCAGCCACACUGGAACUGAGACACGGUCCAGACUCCUAAGGGAAGCAGCAGUGGGGAAUAUUUGACAAUGGGGGGAAGCCUGAUCCAGCCAUACCGCGUGGGUGAAGAAGGCCUUCGGGGUGGAAAGCCCUUUUGUUGGGAAAGAAAAGCAGCAGGUUAAUACCCCGCUGUUCUGACGGUACCCAAAGAAUAAGCACCGGCUAACUUCGUG
rnacentral:rRNA from 1 species